CACGUAGGGGGCAAGCGUUGUCCGGAUUUAUUGGGCGUAAAGAGCUCGUAGGCGGUUCGGUAAGUCGGGUGUGAAACCUCCAGGCUCAACCUGGAGACGCCACCCGAUACUGCUGUGACUCGAGUCCGGUAGGGGAGCGUGGAAUUCCUGGUGUAGCGGUGAAAUGCGCAGAUAUCAGGAGGAACACCAGUAGCGAAGGCGGCUCUCUGGGACGGUACUGACGCUGAGACGCGAAAGCGUGGGGAGCGAACAGG
rnacentral:rRNA from 1 species